rnacentral:lncRNA from 1 species
UCACAGUUGAUAGGAGCCCAGAGCCUGUAUAAGGAUAUACAGAGUCUGUUUUCUAAAUAUGUCUGCAUUUUACACUUUAGGUCAAGAUGGGGUUUAUAUUUUCGAAAUCUAUGAAUGAAAACAUGAAAAAUCAACAGGAGUUCAUGGUUAUGCACGCUCGACUUCAGCUGGAAAGACAGCUGAUCAUGCAGAAUGAGAUGAGAGAACGGCAAAUGGCUAUGCAGAUCGCCUGGUCUCGGGAAUUCCUCAAAUAUUUUGGAACGUUUUUUGGCAUCGCAACGAUCUCUUUAGCAGCUGGAGCAAUAAAGCGAAAGAAGCCAGCUUUUCUUAUUCCUAUAGUUCCCCUAAGUUUCAUCUUCACCUACCAGUAUGACCUGGGCUACGGAACUCUUCUACAAAGAAUGAAAAGUGAAGCUGAAGACAUAUUGGAAACAGAAAAGACAAAGUUGGAGCUGCCAAAAGGACUCAUCACCUUUGAAAGCCUUGAAAAAGCCAGAAGGGAGCAGAGUAAAUUCUUCUCAGACAAAUGAAGUCCCACUUAUCCUCGAAGCACAUACUGCGUCUCAAAAGCACAAAAUCGUUGGCUUGAAUCAUGGUGUUUACAGUUUUUUUAAAUGAUCAAGAUUUUGAUACAAUGCAUUUUUAUUUUAGAAUAUUAAAAUCCGAAGUGAGUUUGUUGAACUAUUUUAAAAUAAAAUUUCUAACACUCAACC